AACGAACGCUGGCGGCGUGCUUUAGACAUGCAAGUCGUGCGGAAAGGCUCCUUCGGGAGUACUCGAGCGGCGCACGGGUGAGUAACACGUGGGUAAUCUACCUAUGGGUCUGGGACAACCCCGGGAAACUGGGGCUAAUACCGGAUAAGACCACGACCUCUUCGGGGGUUGCGGAAAAAGGUGGCCUCUCCUUGGAAGCUAUCGCCCGCAGAUGAGCCCGCGACCCAUUAGCUUGUUGGUGAGGUAACGGCUCACCAAGGCUCCGAUGGGUAGCUGGUCUGAGAGGAUGAUCAGCCACACUGGAACUGAGACACGGUCCAG
rnacentral:rRNA from 1 species